rnacentral:lncRNA from 1 species
GACUCAUCACUGGGCAAAGUGCCUAGUCUGAAGAACUCAGCUGUGAAUGCAUCAUCUUUAUCAAGUUCACCCCUCUAAGGUUGAGAGAACCUCUCAGAAGGAGUAGAGAGAAUUUAGGAGCAGGAGGCUAUGGAUGAGAGCAAGAAAAUGCUGAUUUCUGGAUGUUGCAAGCAUCAAUUCACAGCAGCUAUGGUUUUGUACAAAAGACUUGCACAAGAUCUAGCAGUCAAAAUUCCCAAAUGGAUGAGAGAAGGGCCCCAAAGCUGCACCAAUCCAAGACAAUGUGUUGAAAGUUAAUUGGGAGAGGCAAUUUCCUUUUGGAAAUGUGUGGCCUUUCGUAAUUUGCUAUGUCACACAUAGUGGACGGGCACACAUCCAGGCCCAUGUGGGAAGCAUUAGUUAGACUCUAUAUAACAACAACAAGAACAAAAAUAGAGGACAUGAAAUUGGAAUCAAGCUUGGAACAGAAAGACAGCAUGAGAACUGGGAGAGCUGAGAACAACUGUUGAACCAUGGAUGUAAUGAUCCCCUUCUUUCCAUCAGCAACAAUGGCAAAUCCUCUGUGCUGAAGACCACAUUUUCUCCCUGGAAAAAUGGAAAUGUUACUGUUUAGACACAGAUCCCUGAAAAAUGGAAUUUUAAUGCAUGUACAUCACAGAUUGUUGGUUUUCUACCCAAAAGCACUGUCCAUGAUUUCAAUAACAACAGGAGUGCAAACUGCAUGCCCCAGCUUGCCCAGAAAGUCAGUGUGGCCAUGUGUAAUGCACAAAAGUGCUGUGAAACAUCUCAAAGGGAUAAGCAUGUGGUUUGCCUGCCUUGUGACUCUGUGUCUCACAAUGGGAGUAACACAGCUUCAGCAAGCAAGUCACGGACAUGAUCACAGCACUGCCGUCCAGGACCUCAAGAUGUGCCUCAGAGAACUGCAGAAUCAGUGUCAUCACAGACAUCAUUAGUGACUGCGGCUGCUGCUGCUGCUGCUGCUGCAAAUCCUUGGACUGUGUAGGAGACAUGCAAGACAUUAUGUGUGGUGAACACCAGAACCGUGCUGGAAAUACAUCUUUGCACCAGACUGACAGAUGGUUUGUCAUAGUGCAGCAUUCCAGAAGACAGUAUGGCAAUAAGGAAGAUGCUUAGGAACUAAAUUAAUGACAACUCUUAGGACAGAAAGAAGGGAGGAAGAAGGAAUGGGAGAGAAGAAAGGAAGAAUAAAGGAAGGAAGAUAUAAAAAAUGAAGAAAAAG